rnacentral:tmRNA from 1 species
GGGGGCGAUCGGUUUCGACGGGGAAUCGUAGGUCCUGGGAGCAUGCCGAGGUCGGCACCUCGUUAAUUAGCCGGCAAAUAGUAACUGCAAACAACGAAUUUGCACUCGCUGCUUAAUUGACGGCGACGCACAGAGCGAGGCCUGCUCACGGCUGACCCGAGUGCGCCAAACAAUAGUGAGCCAAGUCCUUUGAACCGCCUUAAACAAAGGGACUGAAACCUAAAGGCUUACUUUAAGUCAUAGCUGUCUGUGGCUGAGAUUUAAAGGACACCUGAUCACAGAACAAGCAUGUAGCGCCUUCGACUGUAAGUUUUUCGGACGCGGGUUCGAUUCCCGCCGCCUCCAUUU